UAGAGAGAGACAUGCGCGCAUAUCAAUAAGCGGAGGAAAAGAAACUAACAAGGAUUCCCUUAGUAACGGCGAGUGAAGCGGGAAGAGCUCAAAUUUGAAAUCUUCAAGGUUUUAGCCUUGACGAAUCGUAGUUUAAAGAAGUGUUUUCUGCUGAAGUUUUGGUAAAAGUUCUUCGGAAUAGGACAUCAUAGAGGGUGAGAAUCCCGUAUUUGACCAUUAUUUUCAGCUUUGUGAUACGCUUUCAAAGAGUCGGAUUGUUUGGGAAUGCAGUCCAAAAUGGGUGGUAAAUUUCAUCUAAAGCUAAAUAUUGGCGAGAGACCGAUAGCGAACAAGUACCGUGAGGGAAAGAUGAAAAGAACUUUGAAAAGAGAGUUAAACAGUACGUGAAAUUGUCAAAAGGGAAGCGUUUGACACCAGUGUUGUUUUCUCGAAAAUCAAUUAAAAAUGGCUCGAUUUUGUAUUGUUGAGACCUUAAAAGCUCACUGUACAUUUUUCGUGUCUUUUUUAAUGCACUUUUCGUUUAACAAGUCAACAUCAGUUUCUUUUGUUGUAAAAGGGUCAUUGGAAGGUGGCUUUCUUUUCGGAGAAAGUGUUUAUAGCCUUUGGCCUCUGCAAUCGGAGAGACUGAGGUCUGCAGCGUAGACUCUUCGGGGUUAGAUACAUUUGUGCUAAGUUAUAGCUUUUUAUAGACAACUUGUUGACUAUAAUUAGUCUUGUAGCUUACUCGCUUAUGCUAUUUUACCUACGCUUAGGAUGUUGAAGAUGUAGCACAUCAU
rnacentral:rRNA from 1 species